CAGAAAGUUAGUUCUGAGAACGUUUCCUGUUUAGCCGAGUUGAGAGACGGUUUUGUUUUAAACAGGUGAAACUGGUCCAGAAUCGGCCUGAAAGGCAUUUUUUUCUUUUUUGUUGAAUCAAAAACGGCUCUGUGUUCCAUGUAAAUAAAAACAGCAUUUGGAUUUGGAGAAAUACUGUAUGUUGGUCGCUGUGGGCUGCUGGCAGAUCUGAAUCCGAACAGGACAGGGAUGAAAUAAUGGAUUGGACCUGCAGUGUUCCUGUAAGCAGCCCGGGCUUUAACCUCCACGCUCCCAGCAGCACUUGACAUGCUGGUCAGUGUCAUACAACAACUGUCAGAAUGAAGCAUUUCACACUGUUA